CCAAUAUACUAACAAUAAUCAUCUCUGAAACAUGGGAUUUCAGGGAAAAAAUAACAUGAGACCCUAUAGUGAAAUGGAACAGCUAUAGAUUUUGAAGCUAGAGAGGACAGAUUGAACAGUGCUUCUGUGAGGACAUGGGAAAUCAAUUAUCUGCUUUAACCUGACUGGUCUCAUUUUGUAAAUUUUUAUGAGGAUUACAUAAGAGUAUGUAAAGAACAUGCCAUGUCAGAAUUUGUCAAGUCCUCAGGAUAAGAUGCUGUUUCAAAAUUGAUUAGUUCUCCGACACGCCCACUGGAAUCAUCCAACCUAUUGAAGAAGCAGAAUGGGAUGUGGAUUAUAGGGUUUCAGAUAACACCAAGUCCUUGUGAAAG